rnacentral:tRNA from 1 species
GCCCUGGUGGCUUAGAGGUUUAGCCCCAGGAUGUAAUCCUGGAGACCUGGGAUCGAGUCCCACAUCGGGCU